rnacentral:rRNA from 1 species
CCUACGGGUGGCAGCAGUCGAGAAUCAUUCACAAUGGGGGAAACCCUGAUGGUGCGACGCCGCGUGGGGGAAUGAAGGUCUUCGGAUGGUAAACCCCUGUCAUGUGGGAGCAAAUUAAAAAGAUAGUACCACAAGAGGAAGAGACGGCUAACUCUGUGCCAGCAGCCGCGGUAAUACAGAGGUCUCAAGCGUUGUUCGGAAUCACUGGGCGUAAAGCGUGCGUAGGCUGUUUCGUAAGUCGUGUGUGAAAGGCGCGGGCUCAACCCGCGGACGGCACAUGAUACUGCGAGACUAGAGUAAUGGAGGGGGAACCGGAAUUCUCGGUGUAGCAGUGAAAUGCGUAGAUAUCGAGAGGAACACUCGUGGCGAAGGCGGGUUCCUGGACAUUAACUGACGCUGAGGCACGAAGGCCAGGGGAGCGUAAGGGAUUAGAUACCCCUGUAGUC